rnacentral:rRNA from 1 species
AACGAACGCUGGCGGCAUGCCUAACACAUGCAAGUCGAACGAGAUCUUCGGGUCUAGUGGCGCACGGGUGCGUAACGCGUGGGAAUCUGCCCUUUGGUUCGGAAUAACAGUUGGAAACGACUGCUAAUACCGGAUGAUGACGAAAGUCCAAAGAUUUAUCGCCAGAGGAUGAGCCCGCGUAGGAUUAGCUAGUUGGUGUGGUAAAGGCGCACCAAGGCGACGACCCUUGGCUGGUCUGAGAGGAUGAUCAGCCACACUGGGCUGAGACACGGCCCAGACUCCUACGGGAGGCAGCAGUGGGGAAUAUUGGACAAUGGGCGAAAGCCUGAUCCAGCAAUGCCGCGUGAGUGAUGAAGGCCUUAGGGUUGUAAAGCUCUUUUACCCGGGAUGAUAAUGACAGUACCGGGAGAAUAAGCUCCGGCUAACUCCGUGCUAGCAGCCGCAGUAA